rnacentral:tRNA from 1 species
GGGGCUGUAGGGUAGCUUGGUUUAUCCUUUCUGGUUUGGGACCAGACGACCCCAGUUCAAAUCUGGGCAGCCCCA